rnacentral:misc_RNA from 1 species
GGAAGUAAAAGUCGUAACAAGAUCUCCGUAGGCGAACCUGCGGAGGGAUCAUUACAGAGUUCAUGCCCUACCGGGUAGAUCUCCCACCCUAUGUUAUUAUUACUUUGUUGCUUUGGCGGGCCGUUAGGCUCCGGCCCGACUACCGGCCCCGGCUGGUAAGCGCCCGCCAGAGGACCCAAAACCCUGAAUAUUAGUGUCGUCUGAGUACUAUAUAAUAGUUAAAACUUUCAACAACGGAUCUCUUGGUUCUG